GACGAACCGUGCGAACGUUGUUCGGAAUCACUGGGCUUAAAGGGCGCGUAGGCGGGCGGUCAAGUCAGAGGUGAAAUCCCACGGCUCAACCGUGGAAGUGCCCCUGAUACUGACUGUCUCGAGGGAGGUAGGGGCGUGCGGAACUUCCGGUGGAGCGGUGAAAUGCGUAGAUAUCGGAAGGAACACCGAUGGCGAAAGCAGCGCGCUGGACCUCUACUGACGCUGAGGCGCGAAAGCCAGGGGAGCGAACGGGAU
rnacentral:rRNA from 1 species